rnacentral:rRNA from 1 species
UACGUAGGGUGCAAGCGUUAAUCGGAAUUACUGGGCGUAAAGCGUGCGCAGGCGGUUGUGCAAGACCGAUGUGAAAUCCCCGGGCUCAACCUGGGAAUGGCAUUGGUGACUGCACGGCUAGAGUGUGUCAGGAGGGGGUAGAAUUCACGUGUAGCAGUGAAAUGCGUAGAGAUGUGGAGGAAUACCGAUGGCGAAGGCAGCCCCCUGGGAUAACACUGACGCUCAUGCACGAAAGCGUGGGGAGCAAACAGG